GUAGGUGGCAAGCGUUGUUCGGAAUUAUUGGGCGUAAAGCGCGCGCAGGCGGUUCUUUAAGUCUGAUGUGAAAGCCCACGGGCUCAACCGUGAGGGUCAUUGGAAACUGGAGAACUUGAGUACAGAAGAGGAAAGCGGAAUUCCACGUGUAGCGGUGAAAUGCGUAGAGAUGUGGAGGAACACCAGUGGCGAAGGCGGCUUUCUGGUCUGUAACUGACGCUGAGGCGCGGAAGCGUGGGGAGCAAACAGGAUUAGAUACCCUGGUAGUCCACGCCGUAAACGAUGAGUGCUAAGUGUUAGGGGGUUUCCGCCCCUUAGUGCUGCAGCUAACGCAUUAAGCACUCCGCCUGGGGAGUACGGCCGCAAGGCUG
rnacentral:rRNA from 1 species